AGUUCUGUGGCGUAGUUGGUUAUCGCGCCCAGUCUAGCGUAUUGGGAGUCGUGGGAUCGAAACCCACCUGAACGA
rnacentral:tRNA from 1 species